UACGUAGGGUGCGAGCGUUAAUCGGAAUUACUGGGCGUAAAGCGUGCGCAGGCGGUUUUGUAAGCCAGAUGUGAAAUCCCCGGGCUUAACCUGGGAAUGGCAUUUGGGACUGCAAGGCUGGAGUGUGGCAGAGGAGACUGGAAUUCCUGGUGUAGCAGUGAAAUGCGUAGAUAUCAGGAGGAAUACCGAUGGCGAAGGCAGGUCUCUGGGCUGACACUGACGCUCAUGCACGA
rnacentral:rRNA from 1 species